rnacentral:rRNA from 1 species
AGAGUUUGAUCCUGGCUCAGAACGAACGCUGGCGGCGUGCCUAACACAUGCAAGUCGAACGGAGAUAAGGGGCUUGCUCCUUAUUUUAGUGGCGCACGGGUGAGUAACGCGUGGAUAAUCGACCUUGGAAUCUGGGAUAACAUUUCGAAAGGGGUGCUAAUACCGGAUAAGACCACGAUCUCUUUGGAGAUUGCGGUAAAAGGGGGCCUCUGUAUAUGCUUCUGUUUCAAGAUGAGUCCGCGUACCAUUAGCUAGUUGGCAGGGUAAUGGCCUACCAAGGCGACGAUGGUUAGCUGGUCUGAGAGGAUGAUCAGCCACACUGGAACUGAGACACGGUCCAGACUCCUACGGGAGGCAGCAGUGGGGAAUUUUGCGCAAUGGGGGAAACCCUGACGCAGCAACGCCGCGUGAGUGAUGAAGGCCUUCGGGUCGUAAAGCUCUGUCAGAGGGAAAGAAGUGUAUGGCGGUU